rnacentral:tRNA from 1 species
GUAUUUCCUAUACUCAGGUGUUAAUGCACGAUGAUUUUUGAUAUCAUUAGUUUCAGCUAAUCGGCUGAGGAAUAUA